rnacentral:rRNA from 1 species
CGACCGCUAUCGGGGUAGGGCUAAGCCAUGCGAGUCGCGCGCCCGGGGGCGCCCGGGAGCGGCGCACGGCUCAGUAACACGUGCCUAACCUAACCUCGGGAGGGGACACCACCGGGAAACUGGGGUCAAUCCCCCAUAGNGGAAGGGCGCUGGAAGGCCCUUCCCCGAAAGGGCUGGCGACCGAUCCNCCGCCAGCCGNCCGAGGGUGGGGGCACGGCCCAUCAGGUAGUUGGCGGGUUAAAGGCCCGCCAAGCCGAANACGGGUAGGGGCGGUGAGAGCCGUGAGCCCCGAGAUGGGCACUGAGACAAGGGCCCAGGCCCUACGGGGUGCAGCAGGCGCGAAUACUCCGCAAUGCGGGCAACCGCGACGGGGUCUACCCGAGUGCGGGCGAAGAGCCCGGCUUUUGCCCGGUCUAAAAAGCCGGGAGAAUAAGCGGGGGGCAAGUCUGGUGUCAGCCGCCGCGGUAAUACCAGCUCCGCGAGUGGUCGGGGUGUUUACUGGGCUUAAAGCGCCCGUAGCCGGCCCGGCAAGUCGCUCCUGAAAUCCCCGGGCUCAACCCGGGGGCCGGGGGCGAUACUGCCGGGCUAGGGGGCGGGAGAGGCCGCCGGUACUCCGGGGGUAGGGGCGAAAUCCGUUAAUCCCCGGAGGACCACCAGUGGCGAAAGCGGGCGGCCAGAACGCGCCCGACGGUGAGGGGCGAAAGCCGGGGGAGCAAAGGGGAUUAGAUACCCCUGUAGUCCCGGCCGUAAACGAUGCGGGCUAGCUGUCGGUCGGGCUUAGGGCCCGGCCGGUGGCGAAGGGAAACCGUUAAGCCCGCCGCCUGGGGAGUACGGCCGCAAGGCUGAAACUUAAAGGAAUUGGCGGGGGGGCACCACAAGGGGUGAAGCUUGCGGCUUAAUUGGAGUCAACGCCGGAAACCUCACCCGGGGCGACAGCAGGAUGAAGGCCAGGCUAACGACCUUGCCGGACGAGCUGAGAGGAGGUGCAUGGCCGUCGUCAGCUCGUGCCGUGAGGUGUCCGGUUAAGUCCGGCAACGAGCGAGACCCCCGCCCCUAGUUGCUACCCCUCCCUACGGGGAGGGGGGCACACUAGGGGGACUGCCGGCGUAAGCCGGAGGAAGGAGGGGGCCACGGCAGGUCAGUAUGCCCCGAAACCCCGGGGCUGCACGCGAGCUGCAAUGGCGGGGACAGCGGGAUCCGACCCCGAAAGGGGGAGGCAAUCCCGUAAACCCCGCCCCAGUAGGGAUCGAGGGCUGCAACUCGCCCUCGUGAACGUGGAAUCCCUAGUAACCGCGUGUCACCAACGCGCGGUGAAUACGUCCCUGCCCCUUGCACACACCGCCCGUCGCACCACCCGAGGGAGCCCUCUGCGAGGCCCCUCGCCGCAAGGUGGGGGGACGAGC